rnacentral:rRNA from 1 species
UGGGGACGUACCUUUUGGUUCGGAACAACCCAGGGAAACUUGGGCUAAUACCGGAUAAGUCCGUAAGGAGAAAGAUUUAUCGCCAAAAGAUCGGCCCGCGUCUGAUUAGCUAGUUGGUGAGGUAACGGCUCACCAAGGCGACGAUCAGUAGCUGGUCUGAGAGGAUGAUCAGCCACACUGGAACUGAGACACGGUCCAGACUCCUACGGGAGGCAG